CCUACGGGGGGCUGCAGUCGAGAAUCUUCGGCAAUGGGCGCAAGCUUGACCGAGCGACGCCGCGUGCGGGAUGAAGGCCUUCGGGUUGUAAACCGCUGUCGUAGGGGAGCAAGAGAUGAGGGUACUCCCUCAAAUUUGAGCGAUCCUAGGAGGAAGGACGGGCUAAGUUCGUGCCAGCAGCCGCGGUAAGACGAACCGUCCAAACGUUAUUCGGUAUCACUGGGCUUAAAGAGUUCGUAGGCGGCUCCGUAGGUGAGGUGUGAAAUCCCUCGGCUCAACCGAGGAAUUGCGCUUCAAACCGUGGAGCUAGAGGGAGACAGGGGUAAGCGGAACAGAUGGUGGAGCGGUGAAAUGCGUUGAUAUCAUCUGGAACACCGGUGGCGAAGGCGGCUUACUGGGUCUUUUCUGACGCUGAGGAACGAAAGCUAGGGUAGCGAACGGGCUUAGAUACCCUAGUAGUC
rnacentral:rRNA from 1 species